AGUGAACGCUGGCGGUAGGCCUAACACAUGCAAGUCGAACGGCAGCACAGGAGAGCUUGCUCUCUGGGUGGCGAGUGGCAGACGGGUGAGGAAUACAUCGGAAUCUACUCUGUCGUGGGGGAUAACGUAGGGAAACUUACGCUAAUACCGCAUACGACCUACGGGUGAAAGCAGGGGAUCUUCGGACCUCGCGCGAUUGAAUGAGCCGAUGUCGGAUUAGCUAGUUGGCGGGGUAAAGGCCCACCAAGGCGACGAUCCGUAGCUGGUCUGAGAGGAGCAUCAGCCACACUGUAACUGAGACACGGUCCAGACUCCUACGAGAGGCAGCAGUGGGGAAUAUUGGACAAUGGGCGCAAGCCUGAUCCAGCCAUACCGCGUGGGUGAAGAAGGCCUUCGGGUUGUAAAGCCCUUUUGUUGGGAAAGAAAUCCAGCUGGCUAAUACCCGGUUGGGAUGACGGUACCCAAAGAAUAAGCACCGGCUAACUUCGUGCCAGCAGCCGCAGUAA
rnacentral:rRNA from 1 species